GGAGUUAUGAAAUGUAAGUGCGCUAAUAUCGCAUUUAUUUGACGAAGGCUCCAAAGGAAGUCACGGCUAACUCUGUGCCAGCAGCCGCGGUAAUACAGAGGUGGCGAGUGUUGUUCGGAAUUAUUGGGCGUAAAGAGCACGUAGGUGGGUUUGCAAGUCAGAUGUGAAAGCCUUCUGUUCAACGGAAGAAUUGCAUCUGAAACUGCUAAUCUUGAGUAUAGGAGGGGAGAGUGGAACUUCUG
rnacentral:rRNA from 1 species